GGAUGCCGGCGGUCUCUGCUGAAGAGAGAAGAUGGCGCUUGACGGACCAGAGCAGAUGGAGCUGGAGGAGGGGAAGGCAGGCAGCGGACUCCGCCAAUAUUAUCUGUCCAAGAUUGAAGAACUCCAGGUGAGGACGGACUCCAGAGGGAGCUAGGAAGGGGGAUGACGGGGGAUGGAAACGGACUUCCACAAAUCCAUCUAAUUCCACUGGGAGUGCAGUGGAAGAGGCUGCUGCUUCUCCUUUCUUGUUUGUUUCUUAGCUAGUAGGGUGUGUGUAUCAGAAGUAAGCAAUCUCUUGUUCUCCUCCAGUGCCAUCUCUUUGAGGGUCUUAGUGUUCACAGUUUGUUACACAUCUUCAAGAGUCAAAUCUUAAUAGUAAAGGUACCUCUAGUCAAAGGUCAACCCUUUUGGAAGAAGCCCGAAUGAAAAGGAUUCUUAUAAAAGGGAAACAUAAGCUCAGAAGUUGAAAUUUAUCACCAAGAGGUUGGGUGAGGGUGAAGUGAGAAUGUGAGGAAGGGCAUCAUUGAGGCAUCUGGACAAUGCUAAUUCCAUAGAGACUGAAUGAAAGAAAUUGGGCAACCCAGAGCCCUAGCCUAAAGCGCUAAACCAUAGAAAAAAGACCGUUUAUGUUGUUAAUCAAAUAUUUGUGUUACCAGUAAGGCUUCCAGCAGUAAAGUAUGGCUUCCAGUAGUAAGCCUUACAGACAACAUAAACAGUAGGCUGUUAGUGUUAGUGUUACGUUACAGUGUUACAGUAGGCUGUUAGUAGUUUAACUUUGGACAGGUCCAUGGAUUUUCAAUUUCACCCUAACCCCCUGCGUUGUUCAAGUGUCAACUGUAAUAUAAAUUGGAUGGGGGAAAGCCACAAAGGACAAUUCUGAAUUCCAAGUGCAUUUGCAGGUAUUAUGUUUAGUUUACCAUUUUUGAAUGCUUUUUCAUGUAUUUUUAUUCGUUCACCUUAGUAGUCUUGAAGCAGGGUAGCUGAUGCUAUACCCAUGUGCCCUUUGGUAACAGAUCUAGAUUUUUAAAAAUAGAUUGUCUUACCUUUACUUUGCUUUUGAUUGACAGCGGCUGGGCUAGAACUCAGGCUUCUCACCUAACAAUCUUUCCACCAGGUGAUGUUGCCUUCCUGCAAGAAAUUUGGUGUUACAUGAGCCAGCUGUAACUUUUGUCCAUUAGAUUCUGUUAUUCCUGGACCAGUAUUGGACAAGCAGCCUUCUUUGAUGGCUGCUGUAAGCUCCAGAGGGACUCUUGGAGGACAGGGCAGGGUCAUUAGGAUCAUACUGGAGAAUGUGAAACAACACGCAGAUGCCCUGUGCCCUUCCCUCAGCUCGUUCAGACCUGUGAGGUCUUGGCCAAGAUCCUACCUCCUCCUGUCUCCUGCCCUUGAGUAAUGGAAUUUGUCUCUUGUCCACCACAGCUGAUUGUGAAUGAUAAGAGCCAAAACCUCCGGAGGCUGCAGGCACAGAGGAAUGAACUAAAUGCUAAAGUUCGCCUACUACGGGAGGAGCUACAGCUGCUGCAGGAGCAGGGCUCCUAUGUGGGGGAAGUAGUCCGGGCCAUGGAUAAGAAGAAAGUGUUGGUCAAGGUACAUCCUGAAGGUAAAUUUGUUGUAGACGUGGACAAAAACAUUGACAUCAAUGAUGUGACACCCAAUUGCCGGGUGGCUCUAAGGAAUGACAGCUACACUCUGCACAAGAUCCUGCCCAACAAAGUAGACCCAUUAGUGUCACUGAUGAUGGUGGAGAAAGUACCAGAUUCAACUUACGAGAUGAUUGGUGGACUGGACAAACAGAUCAAGGAGAUCAAAGAAGUGAUCGAGCUGCCUGUUAAGCAUCCUGAGCUCUUCGAAGCACUGGGCAUUGCUCAGCCCAAGGGAGUGCUGCUGUAUGGACCUCCAGGCACUGGGAAGACACUGUUGGCCCGGGCUGUGGCUCAUCAUACGGACUGUACCUUUAUUCGUGUCUCUGGCUCUGAAUUGGUACAGAAAUUCAUAGGGGAAGGGGCAAGAAUGGUGAGGGAGCUGUUUGUCAUGGCACGGGAACAUGCUCCGUCUAUCAUCUUCAUGGACGAAAUCGACUCCAUCGGCUCCUCGCGGCUGGAGGGGGGUUCUGGAGGGGACAGUGAAGUGCAGCGCACGAUGCUGGAGUUGCUCAACCAGCUCGACGGCUUUGAGGCCACCAAGAACAUCAAGGUUAUCAUGGCUACUAAUAGGAUUGAUAUCCUGGACUCGGCACUGCUUCGCCCAGGGCGCAUUGACAGAAAAAUUGAAUUCCCACCCCCCAAUGAGGAGGUUUGUGAUGGGCACUGUGCAAAGUGGCUCUGACUGUGGGGGUGGGGUGUGGGGCUCAGGCCUUUCCUUGCCAUCUCCAGGCCCGGCUGGACAUUUUGAAGAUUCAUUCUCGGAAGAUGAACCUGACCCGGGGGAUCAACCUGAGAAAAAUUGCUGAACUCAUGCCAGGAGCAUCAGGGGCUGAAGUGAAGGGCGUGUGCACAGAAGCUGGCAUGUAUGCCCUGCGAGAACGGCGAGUCCAUGUCACUCAGGAGGACUUUGAGAUGGCAGUAGCCAAGGUCAUGCAGAAGGACAGUGAGAAAAACAUGUCCAUCAAGAAAUUAUGGAAGUGAGUGGACAGCCUUUGUGUGUAUCUCUCCAAUAAAGCUCUGUGGGCCAAGUC
rnacentral:sRNA from 1 species